rnacentral:misc_RNA from 1 species
CGCGAGCAUUCCCAGCCACAG